CAUGCAAGUCGAGCGGUAACAGAUCCAGCUUGCUGGAUGCUGACGAGCGGCGGACGGGUGAGUAAUGCAUAGGAAUCUGCCCGAUAGUGGGGGAUAACCUGGGGAAACCCAGGCUAAUACCGCAUACGUCCUACGGGAGAAAGGGGGCUCCGGCUCCCGCUAUGGGAUGAGCCUAUGUCGGAUUAGCUAGUUGGUGAGGUAACGGCUCACCAAGGCGACGAUCCGUAGCUGGUCUGAGAGGAUGAUCAGCCACAUCGGGACUGAGACACGGCCCGAACUCCUACGGGAGGCAGCAGUGGGGAAUAUUGGACAAUGGGGGAAACCCUGAUCCAGCCAUGCCGCGUGUGUGAAGAAGGCCCUCGGGUUGUAAAGCACUUUCAGCGAGGAAGAACGCCUAGCGGUUAAUACCCGCUAGGAAAGACAUCACUCGCAGAAGAAGCACCGGCUAACUCCGUGCCAGCAGCCGCGGUAAUACGGAGGGUGCAAGCGUUAAUCGGAAUUACUGGGCGUAAAGCGCGCGUAGGUGGCUUGAUAAGCCGGUUGUGAAAGCCCCGGGCUCAACCUGGGAACGGCAUCCGGAACUGUCAAGCUAGAGUGCAGGAGAGGAAGGUAGAAUUCCCGGUGUAGCGGUGAAAUGCGUAGAGAUCGGGAGGAAUACCAGUGGCGAAGGCGGCCUUCUGGACUGACACUGACACUGAGGUGCGAAAGCGUGGGUAGCAAACAGGAUUAGAUACCCUGGUAGUCCACGCCGUAAACGAUGUCGACCAGCCGUUGGGUGCCUAGCGCACUUUGUGGCGAAG
rnacentral:rRNA from 1 species